AUUGAACGCUGGCGGCAGGCCUAACACAUGCAAGUCGAACGAGUGGCGGACGGGUGAGUAAUGUCUGGGAAACUGCCCGAUGGAGGGGGAUAACUACUGGAAACAGUAGCUAAUACCGCAUACCAUCUGAUUUGCCCAGAUGGGAUUAGCGAGUAGGGGGGUAAACGGCUAACCUGGGCGACGAUACCUAGCUGGUCUGAGAGGAUGAACCGACACACUGGAACUGAGACACGGUCCAGACUCAUAGGAGGGACAGCGGUGGGGAAUACUGCAAAGUGGGUGCAAGCGUCAUGCAGCCGUGCCGCGUGUAUGAAGAAGGCCUUGGGGUUGUAAAGUACUUUCAGCGAGGAUGCGUUCCUCGCUGAAGAAGCACCGGCUAACUCCGUGCCAGCGCCGCAGUAAUAC
rnacentral:rRNA from 1 species